CUACGGGAGGCUGCAGUGGGGAAUCUUGGACAAUGGGCGCAAGCCUGAUCCAGCCAUGCCGCGUGAGUGAAGAAGGCCUUAGGGUCGUAAAGCUCUUUCGCCAGAGAUGAUAAUGACAGUAUCUGGUAAAGAAACCCCGGCUAACUCCGUGCCAGCAGCCGCGGUAAUACGGAGGGGGUUAGCGUUGUUCGGAAUUACUGGGCGUAAAGCGCGCGUAGGCGGAUUAGUCAGUCAGAGGUGAAAUCCCAGGGCUCAACCCUGGAACUGCCUUUGAUACUGCUAGUCUUGAGUUCGAGAGAGGGGAGUGGAAUUCCGAGUGUAGAGGUGAAAUUCGUAGAUAUUCGGAGGAACACCAGUGGCGAAGGCGGCUCACUGGCUCGAUACUGACGCUGAGGUGCGAAAGUGUGGGGAGCAAACAGGAUUAGAUACCCUAGUAGUC
rnacentral:rRNA from 1 species